rnacentral:tRNA from 5 species
ACCUUUAUUAGGAUCUAUAGUGUCCGGUUUUUUUGGUAGAAAAGUCGGUGUUACAGGUA